AAUAUGUCUUUGGGGAGCUAGAUAAGGCUGGCUGAGAAAAAGACCCGUUUUUAAGUCUUUGACCCUUAUACCUGAUCUGGAUAAUACCAGCGUAGGAAAUAUUUACCACGAGUC
rnacentral:ncRNA from 2 species